GAUGAAGAACGUAGCGAAAUGCGAUAAGUAAUGUGAAUUGCAGAAUUCAGUGAAUCAUCGAAUCUUUGAACGCACAUUGCGCCCCUUGGUAUUCCGAGGGGCAUGCCUGUUCGAGCGUCAUUACACCACUCAAGCUAUGCUUGGUAUUGGGCGUCGUCCUUAGUUGGGCGCGCCUUAAAGACCUCGGCGAGGCCACUCCGGCUUUAGGCGUAGUAGAAUUUAUUCGAACGUCUGUCAAAGGAGAGGAACUCUGCCGACUGAAACCUUUAUUUUUCUAGGUUGACCUCGGAUCAGGUAGGGAUACCCGCUGAACUUAAGCAUAUCAAUAAGCGGGGA
rnacentral:misc_RNA from 1 species